rnacentral:lncRNA from 1 species
CUCACUUCCUGCCGUCAGCUGGGCUGCGGCCGGGCCGAGGUGCUGGCGGCUUCCGCUCUGCCCGGGCCGGGCGGCAGGGGGCGGGCGCCAGGGUCCCACGGCUCCCCCAGUGCCGCCCCCUUUACCCCCGAAAUCCGCGUUCCCACCCGGGCUUUUCGGUUUUAGAGAUCGGUUUCGCUGGGAGCUUUCGGGGGCCAGGAGCUCGCUCAUUGCGAGAGUGCGGGGCCCCCAAGCGCUUCCAAGGAAUGGGCUGGGCUCCCCGGGCGUGGGAAACGCGCCAGGCCGGCCUCCUUCUGAGUCACAGGGCCGCCUCGCCGCCCGCGCGUGGGGGAGGAGAGCGUUUUCUUCAUCCCCGCGCCCUUCACUCUGGCCGGAGGCGGGGUGGGGACCCGAGCGACGCGGACCCACAGAGCUGGUUUCCAACUUCCGGCUUGCGUACGGCCGCUGACGGCAGCUCCCAGCUCCCAAGGCAGCCUCUGCCGGGGUUUUCAGUGGGAAAACCGUUCUCUCAUCACCGCAAGCGUUCCCUGGUGAGGGUCAGGGCACACAGUGUCUCCUGCUGUCCCGUGCACAGAUACCACUGCUUCCUCGUGAGUGUGAAGAGGCCCGAUGCCCACUUGUUGGUCCGUGGCGGUCACUUCUCUCUUCCUCCUCCUCCUAGAGCAGAAGGGAUCGAACUCAGGACCUUGCGCUUGCGAGGCAGGCGGCAGAAACACUGAGCUAAAUCCCCGGCUACAUUUGAUUCCUGUAUCAAAACACUGCACUGCACUCCAUCCAGGAUGCACAAGUAUGUGUUCAAUAAAAAAGAAAGCUUAGAGCACAGGGUCCAGAGUUCGAUCCCGGGAGGGCGGGUAGAGAAGAAAGCGG